rnacentral:lncRNA from 1 species
AGUGAGCUGCCUCUCUGCGAUUGGUUUUGCCCGAGUUUUAUUUUUGUCUGUCUCAGCUAGAAAGUGGGAGACUUUCAUUUAAAAUGGAAAUUGGGGCGAGGGGUUGGCGGCUGGGCGAAGGGAGCAUUCAAAAGCGGAGAAUGUCACUUUACCCGAGAAAUUCACUACGAUGGGCCAUUGGUUUCUGCUCGGCUCGCAGGCGCACUGCACGAGUGGAGGUGUGGCUAGUGGCUGUGAUGAGAUAAAUCCAUGCAUAGCCUUUUCAUUGCGAGCUUGAAAGUUCUUUUCUAUUACAGUUUUAGCUUUAGGUUUAAUUGGUUCGACUGCCUUCUCCACAAUUUGGGCGAGAAUUUCCUUUGCCUUCUCAGCAAAAGUUGUUCUGCGGACCCGUCUGGGUCAACUUUCAUGAGGGACAUUGAGACAAACAAAUGAAAUAUGGGUUAAAGUACUCUGAGCAGCUACAAAAAGAAGACCAGUCUAUCCUGCUGGAGACAGUGGCCACGUGAAGAAAGAGCUCUUGCAGUAUGAAAGACCACAUGGAAAGAGAGGCCACAUGGAACCAACAGUCAGCAUCUUGGUUUCGGACACGUGAAGAAAUUCAUCUCAGACUGUGUAUCCUAAAUCAGGCACUUGCUGAAUCUAACUACAUGAGUGAGACCAGUUGACAACACAUGGAGCAGACAUGAGCUGUUCUCAGUGAGUCCUACACAAAUUCCUGACUCACAACACUGUGAGCAAUAAAAUGGUUGUUAUUUUAAGCCACUGAAGUUUGCAGUGAUUUCUUACAUAGGAAUAGAUAAAUGAAACACAAACAUUGAUCAUUUGCAUCUUCUAUCUUUUUUAUGACUAGUCUUAUUGGAAAUUACCAGUUUAUUUCUGCCAUGGUUAGAAAACAAACUCUGAAAUUUUGAUACUUUAAAAUUUUUUUGAGACUUACUGUGCCCAGAAUAUAGUCUAUCUUGGUGAAUGUUCUGUGAGCACUAGACAAGAAUAUGUAUUCUGUAGUUAUUGAGCAUUGUGUCCAUCAAUGUCAACGUGAUUAAGGUGGUUAAUAGUUGUCUUCAGAUCUUCUAUAUUGUAUUGAUUGUUUUAUGUGUAGUGUUGCUAUUAAUUAUUGAUACAGGAGUGUAAAACUUAAACUAUGGCUGUGAAUUUGCCACUUACUUUAGUUUUGUCAGCUUUUCUUUUGCAUUUUUGAAGCUCUGUUAUUGGGCAUAUAAACAUUUAUGGUUCGUGUGUCUUCCUGAUGAAUUGACCAUUUUAUCAUUAUGAAAUGUCUUUAUUGCUGAUAAUACUCCUUAUCUUGAAGUCUA